rfam:Acanthocystis turfacea Chlorella virus 1, complete genome.
GGCAGCAUCGGUUAGUCAGGUCCAGACCGGGGGUCUUAAGAACCUCUCCUCUUAUGAGGGCGUGGGUUCGAAUCCCACUGUUGCCA